GAUGAAGAACGCAGUGAAAUGCGAUAAGUAGUGUGAAUUGCAGAAUUCAGUGAAUCAUCGAAUCUUUGAACGCACAUUGCGCCCCUUGGUAUUCCAUGGGGCAUGCCUGUUCGAGCGUCAUUUGUACCUUCAAGCUCUGCUUGGUGUUGGGUGUUUGUCUCGCCUCUGCGUGUAGACUCGCCUCAAAACAAUUGGCAGCCGGCGUAUUGAUUUCGGAGCGCAGUACAUCUCGCGCUUUGCACUCAUAACGACGACGUCCAAAAGUACAUUUUUACACUCUUGACCUCGGAUCAGGUAGGGAUACCCGCUGAACUUAAGCAUAUCAAUAAGCGGAGGA
rnacentral:misc_RNA from 1 species